rnacentral:rRNA from 1 species
ACGCACGCUGGCGGCAGGCCUCACCCCUGCAAGUCGCGCGCGCCUUCGGGUGAGCGGCGGACGGGUGAGUAACGCGUGGGAAUAUGCCCUUCUCUACGGAAUAGUCCUGGGAAACUGGGGGUAAUACCGUAUACGCCCUUUGGGGGAAAGAUUUAUCGGGGAAGGAUUAGCCCGCGUUGGAUUAGGUAGUUGGUGGGGUAAUGGCCUACCAAGCCGACGAUCCAUAGCUGGUUUGAGAGGAUGAUCAGCCACACUGGGACUGAGACACGGCCCAGACUCCGACGGGAGGCAGCAGUGGGGAAUCUUAGACAAUGGGGGCAACCCUGAUCUAGCCAUGCCGCGUGAGUGAUGAAGGCCUUAGGGUUGUAAAGCUCUUUCAGCUGGGAAGAUAAUGACGGUACCAGCAGAAGAAGCCCCGGCUAACUCCGU